AGGCUUUUAAGAUCUGGUUGC
rnacentral:miRNA from 1 species